AUGGCUUACGCCGUAUUUUGUAAAUAAAAAGCCUGAAGGGAGGGAACACUCCGUCUUGAUUUUCAAGGGCUCAGAUACUCAACUGCAAGAGACUGACCAUGACAACAGCUGUAAAGGUGACAACACUCCUGCUGUUGUUGGUUGCUGUGAUGGUGGCGGCUGAGCCGAUCCCAAAGUCCGUGAAAUGCACUCAAAAGUAUGAAUCAUGCUAUGAUGACAGCAUUUGCUGUGCCCCAACAGAGUGUGUGGUCCCCGACGGAGAAAUAAAAAAGAAAAAAUGUCUUUGAAACCUUAAUGAAUGGCGAAGAUGAUGUUGGGGUUUGAAACACUCCAGCUAUUGCUUUUCAAGAUGCAGUGAACAGCUUUCCGAACAUAAACAUUAAAAACCGUUAAUAUCU